CCUACGUGAGGCAGCAGUGGGGAAUAUUGGGCAAUGGGCGCAAGCCUGACCCAGCAACGCCGCGUGAAGGAAGAAGGCUUUCGGGUUGUAAACUUCUUUUGUCAGGGACGAAGCAAGUGACGGUACCUGACGAAUAAGCCACGGCUAACCACGGGCCAGCAGACGCGGUUAUCCGUAGGUGGCAAGCGUUAUCCGGAUUUACUGGUGGUCAAGGGCGUGUGGGCGGGGGGGCAAGUCAGAUGUGAAAACCACGGGCGCAACCUGUGGCCUGCAUUUGAAACUGUUUUUCUUGAGGGCUGGAGAGGCAAUCGGAAGUCCGUGUGUAGCGGUGAAAUGCGUAGAUAUACGGAGGAACACCAGUGGCGGAGGCGGAUUGCUGGACAGUAACUGACGCUGAGGCGCGAAAGCGUGGGGAGCAAACAGGAUUAGAUACCCUUGUAGUC
rnacentral:rRNA from 1 species